rnacentral:pre_miRNA from 1 species
CGUUAAAAAUUCAAUCCAUUUCCACUGUUAAGUGAUAAUGUAACAAGUGGAGCAAAUAGGCAAUGACAUGUGGCAUGCCACAUUAUCACUUAACGGUAGAAAUAGAUGAAAUUUUUAACA